GAGAGGAAGAAGGUUGGUUGACCAUAUUAGAGAUAAUGAAAAAUACAUAGAGAGGGUUAUUCAAUGAACUUGGGUCCGUCUGAGAGUGCUUUCCCUCUUCUCCCUCGCUUGGGCCCUCCUCGAACAUCGCCUUCCUCCGCCCAAGCCCUGACCCCUACUCGACCACCGCCUUCCUUCGCCCAACCCUUUUCCUCUCUAACCUCUCCCCCCCUUCUUACCAUAGCUACACCAGCCUAAUCCAUAAUGGAGCUCCUUCGCCUAAUUCGCCAUUCCAAUUGGGGGGCCACAUCUUUCCAUAUUGUGAAGGCUUUGAGGUCCUCUUCAGUGGGUCGAUACACCACCCCCAUGCACAACAUCAAAGGUAUAGAGAAAUGGAAUAGGGAAGUUUGGGCUGUCUCAGACCUAACAUGUCUGAAGAAUUUCUUUUCUCUUUCCCAUCCGAAGUCAGCCGUAAUUGUGCCCUGCAGGGACACCAUUCUCAGUUCAAUGGGGCAUCUCUCGCCCUUUCUGCUUGGAAUUAGAACUUGGGAGCCGAGCCGAACUGUAUUAGCCAAUGGAAAAAAAAGGCAAAUUUCCAAUCACCGCUCAUGGAGGACUGCCCUUUUUGCUGAAAAGCUGCUAUAUAGGGCAGCAAAACUUACUUCGCAAGCUGCUCUAGUGAGAGAAAAGAGGAGCUCUGAUCUGGUUAUGGAUGUGAAACCUGGCAAGGCCAUACCUGCUUCCUUGGAACUCCUCAAUGAAAAAUACGAUGAAUGUAGCAAGGUUUGAGCAGAGUAUGCCAUGACUUUUUUUUGUAUGCCAAGACUUUUCACCUAGAAGGGGUGUCAGCGUGAAGUAGUGGAGGGAGAGAAGCCUUGUCCAAUGACACAUCUGUCAACUGAUCAUUCUAACUGGAACAACGCUGAAUUGCUUCUACGAGAUCGACCACCUUAGGCUGCUUGUAAAUCCCCUAUUCACCUCAAGACAAUUUGUGUUGUGUGGGACCUCACCUUGUUGCGCAGCAGCUCAAAUGACUUUGACACUUUUGGUUCAUGAAAUAGUUUAUCAAAUUUUACGGUGAAAAUGGAGGAUUGGGAAUGCUAGAUUCCCUGGAUUGGAUCCAUCGGUCUCUGAUCGAGUUAAGAACCGGACAUGGGUAUUGUCUUUUUUGUUUUGUGACUAAGUAGAUGAUUUUCAUGCAUUUCAAUUGCCUUGGAUUUAUCGCCUUUUCAUUUUUCUUGAAUGAGGAUCAAUUCCUCUUUCCUUUGGUGACUAAGUAGAUGAAUUUCGUUCAUUUCAAUUUCAUUUCUACCAGCGCUUACAAUAACAUUCGCCCUUCCUGGGCAUAAAUGCACAACCAACUGUUAAAAUUAUUGGAUAUUUUUCACAUUGGAUUGAUUUAGAAGGUUUUGCUACGAACUUUAGUUAUAUGGGGGAUACUAUUUUCAUAAGGAAAACUGACAUUGUAUCUCAAUUUAAUGAAAGGGUAGCCCAUGAUUAUCAUCUAUUUUGGGUUAUCUAUGGUAUUUAUUAUUUUGCAUGAGAAUUUGGUUAUAUGAAUGGGGACUUGCAAAAUGGGAACUAGGUUUCACGCAUGUUGAUUUAAUUGUAUGGGGAAUAGGUAUAAGGGUAGGUUGGUCGUUUUACUAUUUUGUUAGAGGUAUUUUGGUCAAUAUCAAGGGUCCAUAAGUGGGUUUAAAUGUACUGCACAUACGCAGCUAUUGAUGUUAUUUUGUUUUAUGGAAUUGGAAAGCAUUCCCUCCUACUUUGGUGUAGUAGAGAAAACCCCUACUUUGUGUAGAGGUGCAGCCUUACUUCGAGUAGUGACGUGGUUAGGGCUGGAAAGGCCCUUGUUCCUUUACCUUUCUUGAUGGUGAUCUAGGAUGUUUUCCUCUUGUUGAUCGUCUGGCAUGAUCGACGGGUUGUUGUUGUUGAAUUGGUCUCGGAUCCCUCCUUUCUGGGUGUCGGUUUUGCACCACUAUGCAUUAAAAUUGGGGCUUUGUAAUAAACUGACGAGCACGUAAACUGUUAUGAGAACAACUCAAAGACAUGGUCAUUGUAUGUUUGAUGGAGUAAUUGUGAUGUGCUCGAUUUAGCCACUUAAACAUGCUAGAAUUGCCCAAUUCUAGCCGUUUACACUCGUUGAAAUUGCCUCAGUUCAGCGGCAAGUUGCUAAGUGCAGUGAUAAUUUGAUGAGAUUAGGGUUUCUCUAUUGUCUGUCUAUUUAAGACCGCAAAAAAAAUUAUGCUCGCACAAUGAGAUUAACUCUCCUCUGGUUAUGAGGUGGAUUAUAACUGCAAUUGGAUACAAACUGCCUUUGUCAUUAGCGACCAAACAUCAUUCAGAGCGAUCUCCUUUGACACUUUGGUGUAGUAGAGAAGGCCCCUACUUUGUGUAGAGGUGCAGCCCUACUUCGAGUAGUGACGUGGUUAGGGCUGGAAAGGCCCUUGUUCCUUUCCCUUUCUUGAUGGUGAUCUAGGAUGUUUUCCUCUUGUUGAUCAACGGGUUGUUAUUGAAUCGGUCUCAAAUCUCUCCUUUCUGGGUGUUGGUUUUGCACCACUGUGCAUUAAAAUUGGGGCUUUGCAAUCAGCCAAUGAGCGCAUAAACUGUUAUGAGAACAACUCAAGGACAUGGUCGUUGUAUGUUUGAUGGAGUAAUUGUGAUAUGCUCGAUUCAGCCACUCAGAUAUUCUAGAAUUGCCUAGUUUCAGCCAUUUAUACUCGUUGAAAUUGCCUCAGUUCAGCGGCAAGUUGCUAAGUGCAGUGAUAAUUUGAUAAGAUAAGGGUUUCUCUAUGGUCUGUCUAUUUAAGACCACAAAAAAAAUUAUGCUUGCACAGCGAGAUUACCUCUUCUCUGGUUACGAGGUGAAUUAUAAACUGCAAUUGGAUACAGAUCUGCCUUUGUCAUGAACGACCAAACAUCAUUCAGAGCGGGUUGGCUUCACCUCAUCUACCAGAUCCUCAAAUCUCCUUUGAUUUGGCCUUUUUUACAUCCCUCGUACACCACUUGCUCAAUUCUCAUUGAAUCAUUUUAUUCCCUCACAUAGAACUUUGUCACCGCUACAUUCAUGAACUUGACCUCUCUGACCGCCAUCGAGCAAACUUGCAGCAAAUGCUCAUGCGCUUUGGGAACGGGCCUGCUCCAAUACCAAAUGGUAUGGUGGAAAGACAAAAGAGGAAUAGAGAAAUCAAAGAUCGAAUUGAUUGAAAUAACAGGAAUUACAAUCCAAGCUUCUAGCUCUCUGGUGAAACCAAGAUUUUGAACAAAACGAUAUCUAUUUCUGAAAGCAAAACCCGGAAUACAACCACUAUUUAUAAUAAAAGAUCUUACUUAAAUUCCAAGGAAUCCUAAUUCUAAUUGAAAAAAAAGAAGUCCCGAUUAAAACAAAAUUUGUGAUAGCAUCUUUACCAUUGAUAAAAUAAAUAAUUCCAUAAUAACUCUUAACUAGCUUAAUCAAGCAUUAAUGUUGAGGCCUACCCAGCCUGUUCACCAAAUGGCUUUAUGCCCAAGCCCUCAAUCAAGCCCAUCCUUAGCUAUCUAUUCCACCCCUCAGCCUACCUCUUCACCCUUAAUUCCACCUCAACCUCCUAUUCUCCCCUGGCUAUCAUUUUUUUCACAUUCCCCCUUUUAAAGGUCCCCUACCCCCUCUGCUACCGUACAAUGUUAGUGAGGAGCAUCCUUCUCUUCCACCCACGCAUCUUUCCCCCCCUUUGAUAACCCUCUUCCUCCUAUUCCUCGGAAUCUUCUUCACCAGUCUCUGUGGACUCUAGCUCUGUGGACGUAAUCGACCACGCCCAAGGCAAUCCUCACGAGAUCCUUUCAGUGAUAGACUUCCUGUUCAACAGCCCACAUAAAGCCUUUGAAGCCUUCAUCAAUGCUGUUAGCGAAUCUAGACACCAGGGUAAGUUGAAGAAUGUCAAAGGUAAGGCUCCUGCCACCAAUUCGAGAGUAUCCUGAGAGCUAUCCAAACUUUUUCAAAGUAAGGUAUGAGAAAAGAAAACCCUCAGCUAAGGUCCUUCCCAUUCCCUCGGCUCCUCAGCAUUCUCGCCGCUCGACCAAGAGUGUCAUCUACCCCUUAGUUGUGCUAUGAAGAUCCUUAUUUAGAAUAUAAGUGGUUUGGGCUACCCAGGAAAACGGUAAAAUGUUCGUGAAUUUGUUUCGCAGUAUUCUCUGUCUCUUU